CAGCAGCCACGGUAAAACGGAGGGAGCUAGCGUUGUUCGGAAUUACUGGGCGUAAAGAGCUCGUAGGCGGUUUGUCGCGUCUGCCGUGAAAGUCCGGGGCUCAACCCCGGAUCUGCGGUGGGUACGGGCAGACUAGAGUGAUGUAGGGGAGACUGGAAUUCCUGGUGUAGCGGUGAAAUGCGCAGAUAUCAGGAGGAACACCGAUGGCGAAGGCAGGUCUCUGGGCAUUAACUGACGCUGAGGAGCGAAAGCAUGGGGAGCGAACAGGAUUAGAUACCCCGGUAGUCCCUGUCUCUUAUAA
rnacentral:rRNA from 1 species